rnacentral:rRNA from 1 species
UUUAAAUUGAGAGUUUGAUCCUGGCUCAGGACGAACGCUGGCGGCGUGCCUAACACAUGCAAGUCGAGCGAUGCGAUCCUUCGGGAUCAAUUAGCGGCGGACGGGUGAGUAACACGUGGGUAACCUGCCUCAAAGAGGGGAAUAGCCUCCCGAAAGGGAGAUUAAUACCGCAUAAUAUGUUUUGAUCGCAUGAUCUUAACAUCAAAGGAAUUUUUCGGAAUUUCACUUUGAGAUGGACCCGCGGCGCAUUAGCUAGUUGGUGAGGUAAAGGCCCACCAAGGCAACGAUGCGUAGCCGACCUGAGAGGGUGAUCGGCCACAUUGGAACUGAGACACGGUCCAGACUCCUACGGGAGGCAGCAGUGGGGAAUAUUGCGCAAUGGGGGAAACCCUGACGCAGCAACGCCGCGUGAAUGAUGAAGGCCUUCGGGUUGUAAAGUUCUGUCUUCUGGGACGAUAAUGACGGUACCAGAGGAGGAAGCCACGGCUAACUACGUGCCAGCAGCCGCGGUAAUACGUAGGUGGCAAGCGUUGUCCGGAUUUACUGGGCGUAAAGGAUGCGUAGGCGGACAUUUAAGUCAGAUGUGAAAUACCCGAGCUUAACUUGGGUGCUGCAUUUG